rnacentral:rRNA from 1 species
AUGGACGAAGACGAAGACGAGAGCAUGUCUAGCGCUGAGUGUAUUGACAUUGAUCCAUUCGACUAUGUCUACUCAAACCUCCAAGACAACAUACACAUCCUGAAGCAAGCCGCGAACUGCGACCACUGCAAGGCCAAGAAGUUUGAGUCCGAGGCCCCGGGAUUCUGCUGUCGUAAUGGGCAGAUCGAGCUGAAGGAAAUGGAGCCCAUCCCAGAGCUAAUGAGGCUUUGGUCCAGCACGGAUGCAGACUCUAGGCAUUUUCGUGAGAACAUACGGUUCUUCAACGACCACUUUUCCUUCACAAUCCUUGGCGUCAGCCUCGAUGAAAACUACACAAACAUGAAGUUUGGGGUGUACAUGUUCCGGGCGCAUGACACCAUCUACCACAACGUUCAUUCCUUUGGGCCAACGCCCCAUCUAGAGCAUCUACAAUUGUACUUUUACGACGACGACCCUGGCCUAACCCAUUGCCAGGGUACCACCAAGCAAUUGGACCAGAAUUUCAUUAGAAAGUUAGUGGACAUACUCAGGGAAAACCCGUACUCCCAGCAGUUUAGGAGUUUGGGUGCGCACAGGGACAACCUCGAUGAUUACAUGAUAGACCUCAACAUGGACCAAAGGCUAGACCAAUGA